AGGGAUGUUUUCCAGACUGUUGCCAAUAGCCCAUUGUGCUCUUGUGCGACGUAAAUGAAUUACAACUACAACUAAAAAAUAAAUCUCAUAAUUCAAGAAAAUCACAAGAAAAUUUCGCAUAGAAUAAACUUAAGCUGGAAAUAUAGGCCGCAAAGAGUUUGCAGCGCUAUCUAGUGUGGAAAUACCAUUCAUUGCCCAACCAGAACUAGGCAGAAACAAGCAGGAAGUAUAUGUAAUGAUCAAUCAAUUAUCAAUCAAAAUAAUGUGCACUUACCUAAGCUGAAAAAUUGUUGAAAUACUGUCUCGUGUUGUUCAUCUCUUUGAAUUAUCUAAAAUAGAAUCUUCAAAGAGUAAUAUUUAUUAAAAAUGUUUCGUGUACAGCCAUUCAAAUUUGAGAGGAUUGAUCCGGUUGAGGAGAAGAGGAAAGCGAGAUCUGCUGUUUUAAAAACCUGCCUUACCUACUUUUUUGUAAUUGGCUUGAUUCGAGCCGCACCACUUGUGAUAGAAAAAGUACAGUGAAAUCGCUAAUGAAGUCGAGUAUUGAAGAAAUCCAUAGAGUAGCAUAUUUGUAAAUACUGCAACCUCAUGUGUGUUAUGAAUCAUUUAUAUAUGUUGCUAUUCAUGAUUCUGUUUGAAUAAUAUGAUAACUACUAAUAAAUAGCUUUCAAUGAU